rnacentral:rRNA from 1 species
AUGCCGGCGCCGAGCAACUUCCUAAAGUCCAUGGCCGCCGCGGCCGCGAAGCACGGAGGAGGAGGUGGAGGAGGAGAGCAACACCAGGCCACAACGGCGGCGAGGAAGCAGCAGCAGCAGCGCGUCGGCUUCCCGAGGCUGUCGACCUCCAGCAAGGCGCUCGUCCUGCUGCCCAUCCUGCUCCUCGCCUUCAUCUACCUCUUCGUGUACCCCAAGGAGUUCGAGCUGCAGUCGCUCAUGAGCUCCUGCGUCCCGCCGCCGGGCACCUACACCGCCGCCAACGGCUCCACCACCCUGUCGUCCACGUCGGCCGUCGCAUACGCCCGGAAGAAGCCGGACUUCCGUCUCCUCAUCGGCAUCCUGACGAGGGCCGACGUGUACGAGCGGCGCCACCUGCUGCGCAUGGUGUACGGGCUGCAGCUGGCCGCCGACCCGGCGCUGGCGGCGCAGGUGGACGUGCGGUUCGUCUUCUGCCGGCUCUACAAGGACGACCAGCGGGUGCUGGUGCCGCUGGAGAUCCUGGCGCACGGGGACGUGAUCGUGCUGGAUGGGUGCGAGGAGAACCUCAACGGCGGGAAGACGCACACCUUCUUCACCGCGGUGGCGGAGCUGUACGCGGACGCGCCCUACGACUACGUGAUGAAGGCGGACGACGACAUCCUGAUCCGGGUGGCGGCGCUGGUGGCGUCGCUGGGGGCGAUGCCGCGGGAGGACAUGUACUACGGGGCCACCAUCCCGUGCAACAGCAUGGACCCCGGGAGGGGGUACAUGUCGGGGAUGGGGUACGCGCUGUCGUGGGACCUGGUGCAGUGGGUGGCCGGCGCCGGGGAGGUGACCCGGGGGCGCACCGUGGGGCCGGAGGACAGGAUGACCGGGGAGUGGCUGAGGGUGGGAGGGAAGGGGAGGAACAGGUUCAACGCCAAGCCGGCCAUGUACGACUACCCGCUGCCGGUGCGGGUGGACGAGUGCUCCCACGAGUUCGUGCCGGACACCAUCGCCGUGCACCGCCUCAAGGACAACCCGCGCUGGGCGCACGCGCUCAAAUACUUCAACUUCACCGCUGGGCUCAAGCCGUCCAAGUUCUACAAGUUCGACCCCUAG